GACACAGGUUAGAGACACACACACAUAGUCGACAGACAACACAGACACCACAAGGGGGGCCAAGGGGUACUUGCAGUUAUCCUAUAAGGAAUAGAACUGGGAUUGGGCCAAGGACACACUUGCUUUGUAAGUUAACGCCUCUAUCUUUUUGGGCGUAGUAGAAGUAUAAAAAUUAUGUUUUGACUGUUGAUCCUUAGACAUUGUGCGGCGACACGUGUCUCCAGAAGCUUCUGUAAUAACUGGACGUAUGAUACAGUAUUUGCCCUGACUCCUGGUGUUUUAUUCUCCUUUCCAACAAACCAACUCGGGGAAGUGUUAGACUUCAACAAUUUGGGGGCUCAGUCCGGGAUUGGAAAAAGGGAGAAGGAAUUUGACUCCGUCCAGUUGAACUACACGGGACUCACAGGUUCCAGCACCGGUGCAUCAUAAAAAAGGUAAGCAGAGCCUGUUAUAUCUAAAUCUGCAUAUUGGCUAUGAACUAAAUUGUGGACCUGUGGAAAACGUAUUGGGAGACUGGUUUAAAUUCAGGGGGUCAGAGGAACGGUCUGUGAGUUAGAGUCUCACUGUAAGUCGGGUUAGAGGCCCGUUACCGGUGUGUGAGUUAGAGUCUCACUGUAAGUCGGGUUAGAGGCCCGUUAAUCGUUCUAGGGUUGACUACCCUACGCCACUUCCCGACGGGGACGGUGGAGAGUUGCGAGUUAGAGUCUCGGCAACCAGUCGGGUUAGAGGCCCGAGGACUUAGGGGCACCUCGAAGUACUUAUUGUGUGAAAGGUUCAGCUGGGUUAGAGGCCCGGGGAGUUUUGGAACUCCCCAAAUUCUUUGUAAGAAAACUGGGUUUGAGUCCCAAAAGUGUUGGGUCAGGGACCCGUUCAGCUGGGUUAGAGGCCCGGGGAGUUUUGGAACUCCCCAAAUUCUUUAUAAGAAAACUGGGUUUGAGUCCCAAAAGUGUUGGGUCAGGGACCCGUUCAGCUGGGUUAGAGGCCCGGGGAGUUUUGGAACUCCCCAAAUUCUUUGUAAGAAAACUGGGUUUGAGUCCCAAAAGUGUUGGGUCAGGGACCCGUUCAGCUGGGUUAGAGGCCCGGGGAGUUUUGGAACUCCCCAAAUUCUUUAUAAGAAAACUGGGUUUGAGUCCCAAAAGUGUUGGGUCAGGUACCCGUUAAUCAUUUGUUAAUUAUUCUGAGUCUGGGACUCACAGUAACAUAAGUCAGGUUGAAAUGGACGGGGAGUUUGAGAGAGAACUGUUGAGAGAAGUGUUGAACUGUUUGUUGUCAUGGUGAAGUCAGGAGAAGAGAAAAUUGUGUUUUAAGAAAAUUGAGUUGUUUGUGAAUGGGAUGAAGGUCAAUGUUUGAGAUGUUGUGUGUGGACACCAUGGAUACCGCUCCAACGAGGUUGGAGGUCUGAACGGGUGGGGUUGUAAGAAGACCUGUAUGGUAACGUCCUGUGGACCUGGAAGCAGGUGGGGACCAGUAGACUGUGUGUGUGAAUGUGUAUGCGAAAGAGAGUGUGUGAGGGAAGAGAAUUCCAGUCUGUUUAUAAGGAAGUGUGUGAAAGGAGACUCAUUGGGAGUGAUGCGCAUAGUGGAUAAAUUGACAGUAGAUGAUAGUGAUAUUUGCUCGAGUUCUAGAAAAGGGACGUCUGGAUAGAUUGGAAGAAGGGUUAAUGAAGAAAAUAGCCAGAUAGACAAAGAUUUAGUGGGAGAGGUGCCACGAGAAAGUAUUCAACAGUGGACAAAGGUUUUGGUCAAGUUUUGGGUAAUUAUUUGUGUAAACAUAGUUUUCUUUAAAGUGGUUUCAUUCAAUUGUUUGAAAAUAUUGUAAAGGUGGUCUGUUGGUUAAGUUUCAAUGAGUCCAGUUAAAGGAUAGUGAGAGGAGUCAAAUAGAUAAGACGGCUUUUUGCUGCCGUCCCAGAAAGUAGGGAGUAACUCUAAGCAUCCCAAUCCAGAACACAGAGACACUCUAGGAGAGAGGUGCAAAAGAUGACAGACACACCAAAUGAAAUUCAGGGAAGUAGAUUCCCAAUGUUAAAAUAAAUCAAAAUAGAGCAAAAUCAGGUUCUAUAUUGUAAUAUUAAAAUGGCAAUUGCUUUCCCAUUCCAAUUGGAGAAUUCUGUGUACACGAAAUUGUAUGAAAAUUGAGCUCAUCUAAAUUAUGAAACACGACAAAGACAUGUCAAAUUAGAAUCAACUGGCCAGUGUUAAAUGUAAAGAAAAUGAGUGCAACAUUUAUGAAACAUUGGUAAAAUAGUAAUUCCCAAUUUAGGACAUUUAUAAGAGAGAGCCAUUAGAUUGGGGUUUAAAAUUGUUGAUCAACACAACUUUAAAUUCAGUAAGUUAAUGCUAAAACUCUCCAGUCAAAGUUUUAACUUUGUGUUGUGCAAGAUUCCAUCUUUGUUUCUUACAGAGUAGGAGUCCUGAAUCCUGCAACCCUGAUACACCUUGUCCAAUAAAGGGGUACCUCACACAGAUGGCCCAGAUCAUUCUAAGGCCAAACCAAGCCCAGACCUUUGAGAGACUGCCUUGGGUUCAGAAUAAGAAUAUUGGACACUGAUGGUUCCAGCUGCACCACAGUCAAGGAGAGGGUGGAGGAAUGGAGAGACGCAUGCAGAACAAAGAGGCUCCUACAUCCAUGACUGUAACAGCCAGGAGCCACUUGACUGGACAUGGGAAAAUUAAGGAGGAGAAAAGGGAGGAGAGAUAGAACCCCCAGCAUAUGAAGAUGACCUUGUACUCGGUACAGACCGGGCACCAUUAUAUCCAGUGUUAUGUUUAGAGAAGGGGAUAUUGUCUUUAGACACACAGAACAGCAGGCCCAUAACUCAAUUCACAGGAAAGCAAGAUAAGAGAGAAGUUGAGUAGGAAGGCGGAGUCAGAGAGCGAGACAGAUGCUGGGGGGGAGGUGAAACCGUUCAUGACGCAGUAGAAUCAAUUCAAAAGACACAAAAUAAAAUGUUUACGCGGUCACAAGCAGGGGAAGCUGGUUGUGCUGGGUUUCAGCUGCCUCUCUUUAGAGUGGGAGGCGGAGAACCGCGAUAUAAACCACUGGGGCUGGGAGACGUACAGGCACUGGUAGAUAAAUUACCCCCGAUGGGAGAGGGAGGUGGACUAUGGUUGUCACAAUUUGAUAAACUCACAGCUGGUCAAAUGUUGGCACUGGGGGACUGGAGGGCAGCAGCCGCCCGAGUCGUGUCCGCCCAGGCUAUGACUGAGAUAGAAAAAGGGGCCGCCACUAGGCGGAGCCCUGACGACACUCCUUUCAGUCAGGUGGUCGGGCGCAUAGCCACGGCCCUGAGGGGACGAUUUCCCUUGCCCGCUGGGGCCCCGAUGCCUAAGUUACCUUGGGAAAAAGAGCAACACCCUAGACAGUAUCUAGAAGCAUGUAAGGACACAUGGGCCAAACACACAGGGCACCACCCGGGGAAGGGGGGUCUGCAGCAGGAGUGGUUUAGAAGGGCGGUCUUAGAGGGACUUCCAGAGAAAAUAAAAGAGGCAAUGAUGGCAAAUCCUGACUUGCCGGGUAGUGAAUCACACGUAUGGGAAAGACACAUAGUACAUCAUUUACAGAGGGCAAAAGAUGAGACAGAGAAAGACAAACAGAUACGGGAACUGAGGGAGAACCUGUUGCGCUUACAGCUGGGUGAAGCCAAAGUGAGAUUCAAUGAAGGGAAAAAGAAACACAGACAGAUGGCAGCCCUAGGCUCAGGAGAACCUGACACACCCGAUUUAUACCCUGUUCCCACAUGGGCAUCCCAACCUCACAGUGGCCGGAGGGCAUUCACCGCGCCCUAUCGACCAGGGACUCUGAGGGGAGGUUAUGGUAGGAGGAGGGGGCGGGGUAGAGGCAGAGGGGCUCCAGGAGCCCAAGUCCCAUACGGAGCCUGCUUUACGUGUGGUGACCCGAACCACUGGUCCAGAGAGUGCCCACAGAACACUGCAAGGGGCAGAGGAUACCCAAACCAGGGGGCAGCUCCAGUUCCCAACCCACACGCCGUCCCACCACCUAGUGCACCUGGACAAUACCCACUCUCUUAUGAGGGAGGGUGGGACCAGGCGUGACGGUCUACAGGGAGGGGAGGGGACAGCGGGGGAAGGGCAGACCCUAUGCUGUCCCUGAAUGUCGACGGGAAGGACUUCCCCUUUCUGGUUGACACAGGUGCCACGUUUUCCACCAUCACCGCCCCUCCCGUCACAGGACUACUAUCCUCCAAGACAGUGGAAGUUGUGGGGUUUGAAGGAGUGGGACAGACUUUGCCAGUAAAAUUUCCUCUUAAAACGAUACUGGGUAAACAGGCCCUCAGCCAUCCGUAUGUGGUGUUGGCAAACACACCAGUGAACUUAUUGGGGAGAGACUUGUUGAUAAAACUGGGGGCUAAUAUCUUGUGUUCUCCAGAUGGACUAACUGUCACGUUACCAGACGGGACAUCGACUUCAAGUGGAGGCCGUGGAUCUCCCUCCUCGAGCCGUACUUUCCUCCGCCAGACCCCCCACAUGUAACCCUAUUUUAUGAUCGGCAGGGCGAUGAAGUGUAUAGAGAGGGGUUUGGGGAUGUAGUGUGUGGGGACACGUUACAGGUCGGGUCUAAAUUCAUACAUGUAGGCCCUGAAGGGGUGGCAGCAGAUGUACAGUUGACAGAGGAGCAGGAUCAGUGGUACAUGAUGGCGGAGGAGUCCGUCCCGCAUGUGUCGCUGGCCCUGCAUCCUAAACACCAAGCAAAAGACCUGGGGCCCAUGGUUAAAAGGGCGGUCAAAUGUACUGAUUGGACACUCCCUCAGGCGCCAAACGUAUGGUACUCACACAGCUGUAAGACGUAAAAAUGGUUCACCUGCAUUGACCUGGCUAACGCUUUUUUCUGUCUCCCACUAGCAGAGGAACUUCGUGAUAUUUUUUCUUUCACACAUAGGGGCGACGGUGGCCGCCUGCAUCCAAGCUACAAUGACGGUCCUAACCAGACUGGCAGAGAAAGGGUUCAAGGUAUCAAAAGAAAAGCUACAGCUGGUAAGGACGCAGGUCUCCUUUCUGGGCAGAGUAAUCUUGCAGAAAGGAGCGGGGCUUUCCUCAGCUCACCGCACAACCAUCCUCCACCAUCCUAAACCCACUACUGUUCAGGAAAUGCUAUCAUUCCUGGGGCUCACGGGGUACAGCCGCAAUUACAUCCCAAACUAUUCAGGGCUCACAGAGCCACUUAGAGCGCUAGUUAAGGAGCAGGGAAUGCGUGAACUUAAAGCCACUCUCAAUUGGACUUGCCCGGCCGACCAGGCCUUCAUUUUGCUGAAACAACAACUAGCCACCGCAGCUGAUCUGGCCAUACCCGACUACACAAAACCUUUUUUUCUAGAUGUUUCUGAAACAGGUCAAGUCAUGAACGGGGUCCUGUUUCAGAAAAAAGGGGGAGAAGGCUCUGAGAGAGACGAGCUAGUGAGACAUCAAAAGGGGGCUUCCACACAAGAGAAAACAAUUUGGCAACAGAGAGGAGCAACAGAGAUGAGCGGGCUCUGGAGAGGGCCAGACGGUAGAGUAAUACUUCCACCAGCCAUGCGGGGAGAUAAAUUUGCAGAAGCCCACGGGUUGGGCCAUGUAGGGCCAGCACAGAUGUUGAGGAACCAAUUAUGGUAGACAUGGUACGUAACUACACUAGGACAUGCACCAUCUGCACUCACCACAAUCCAAAACCGACGAUCAAACCUGAGAGGGGGGCGUUCCCCAUGACGACGAGACCUGGACAAGAGAUAGUGAUAGACUACACGGACAUGGGGGAAACUGUACGGGGGUGCCGCUACAUGUUAGUGUGUGUGGACAUGUUCACAGGGUGGCCAGAAGCCUGGCCAGCUAGAAGGGAGGACAGUCAGACAGUGAUCAAGUGUUUAGUGAACCAGUACAUUCCCAGACACGGCUUCCCAGAGAAAAUCAGGUCAGACAAUGGGACUCACUUUAAGAACAGUGAUUUACAGGAGGUAGAGAGAUUAUUGGGCCUAAAACAUGCUUUUGGCACUGUAUACCAUCCACAGUCCCAGGGAAAGGUAGAAAGGAUGAACCAAAACUUAAAAAACAAGUUGGCUAAGAUAUGUGCACAGACCAAAUUGAACUGGGUGGAUGCACUGCCACUGGCCCUCAUGACGAUUCGAUGCUCGUUAAAUCAGACCACUGGGUUCACCCCAUACGAGCUGCUGACGGGGAGACAGUUUCCAGGAUCCGGCCGCGGGGCCUGCGGUCCCGGAAGGGGUAAAGUGGCCCAAAGACCAUAAAGUGUAUUUUGAUGAAUUGCGAGCUCUCGUUUCAGAAUUCACCAACAGAGUCGGAGAAAGGAGGGACCUGCACCUGCUGGACCAGAACCUGCCCCAGGCGGAUUGGGUGCUGCUGAAGGUCAUCAAGCGAAAGUGGUCGGACCCAAGGUGGACGGGUCCUCAUCAGGUGGUGGAGAGAAAGAGUCAUGCGGUCCGCAUGAGCGACAAAGGGGAGACCUGGUACCAUUGGAGCCAGUGUACACCAGCGCAGGAGCCAGGAAGGUCGCUAACGGACCUCAUCCAAACCGGGAAGGAGGAGCUUUCCCCAGUGUGGACUGAAGGAGGACCAGCACCAGCCGGACCGGUGCCAGGAGCGGAUCCCAGGACACGGCGGGACCACGAGCGAGUGAAGGAGACAGAGGACGGCGUCAGGGGACUAGACUCUUAGGGGAAAGAAUUGAAGAAUACUGUAACAAAAGGGGGUAUAGGACACAGAGUGGCUACCACUCGUACCAAGAUGACAGGGUUACAGAGAAAGGUCUGAGGAGAUGAGAAUAGAAUGAAGUGGUACAUGGACAUUGGUGGCAUAAUGAUGUGUGUUGUAUGUUGUUACAGGUUUCCCAGGUUGGCAUUGGGUCUUCAUUCCCCCAGCGAAGAGGUUCGCGACCCCACCUGAGGACACCUGUUUGAGGAAAUUUGGGGGAUUGAAUUGGACGAUGUCAAGGGGUCACAUACGAGCAUUCUGGGAUAGAUAAUCCGCUGGAGGAAUGGCUGACUCGAUGUUCGGCCAGUGGAGAGGUUUGAUAAUGUCUGUUCUUUUAUCGCUAUCUACAUUCGGUUCUAUAAUGGUUACUUGUGUGUGUUGUUGUAUCCCAUGCAUAAGAGGGCUUGCCAUGAGCGUGAUCUUUUCCUCAGCAGGAUGUACAACAGCAACAGGCGGUUGAUGCGGUGGAUGUUGAUUGUGCAGGGAUACAACCUCACUAUCCACCAUAUUAAGGGUUCCAACAACGUUGUUGCUGACGCGCUCUCGCGAGUCUGGUGAGACUUCCGCUGCCGGAGUGAUUGUUUACAGGGAACGUUGCGUACAGAUUGGUGACACUAACUAUUCGUUGUGUCUUUUUGUGGUGGGCGUGUUACGUCCCCUGUUCAAAGUCCCUGUAGUGUUCUGUGUAUGUGUCUUCUCAGUACAGGUGACAAUAUUCUUCAAUCAAGCUCAUCAAUGACUCCGCCUACCCCGUUACCCGGUUCAGCUGUUUCCACUCACCAUCUGUCCCAUCAUGCAUUUCUGAGCAGUAUAUGUACUUCUGGUUUUUGGUCAUUCUCUCUCUCACUCUCCAUGCGUAAGGUUGUGUAUGUGGUUUCUGGUUAGUUGUGAAGUGUUUUGUGGUUUUGCGUGGUUUGGAGUGAGAGCUGUGUGUGUGUGGUUGAACUUUGAUUGUACAACUGGUACAUUGUCUAACACUGUUAUUUCCUCUUGUUUCUACAGGGAGUGAGGAGUAGUUUAGCCCUGCUCCGGAGUCUACAUCCCUGCACGUAGGAAGAGGAGUACAUCCCUAACAGAUGCCAGCCAGGACAUUAGACUGACAAUGGAGGUUUUGGAUGCAAUGAAGACACAAGGAGGAAUGUCAAUGAGAGAAGCAAAAUAAUCUUUGAUGGAGGGAACCUUUAAGGGAGUAGCCCUGAAGGAAAGCACAGAGAAGGUUAAUCAGCUUCAGUUCUUUCAGGCAGUGAUCGACAUCCUGUCAAGUCGUCUUCCAGAUUCUGAACUCACAAAGUUAUUGAAACCAUUAGACCCUCACAUCUGGCCCAAAACAAGAGAUGAACUGAUCUUGUAUGGGGAGGACGAGAUAUAUGAACUUGCAAAGGAUCUGGGUGAAUCCGCCAGAGAGGCUGUUGAAGAUUUCCGUUCCUGGAAACUGCAAAAGGAUCAAAGUGGGAAGACCUUAAGAAGAUUGAUAGUUGCAAGCCAAACAUAUCUAGCAACUUCAGCAGAGUGUGAACGAGGGUUUUCUGCCAUGAAUGAUACAGCCAGUAAGACAAGAAAUCGCCUGAGGGUCAGAAGUCUCUCAGCUGUCUUGUUCGUCGACAUUAAUGCACCCCCAUUGGAGAUGUUCGACCCUAAGCCUUUUGUGAUGUCCUGGCUUAAAGAAGGGCACUGCCCAUCUACUGCAAAGAAGGCAGCAAAGAAUAAGAGAGAAGACAGACCACUGUGGUCCAUUAUGUGUUGAUGUUGGACCUCCUUUAAAGGUCUAGAGCAGGGGUGCCUGCCCAGUCCUGCUCCUGGAGAGCUACUGUUCUGUAGGUGUUCUCUCCAACCCCAGUUAACCCCUAACCUGAUGAAGUUGUUAACAAAUGAAUAAAAUAUGUGCCUAGUCACUUAACAUGUUGAUUUUGAAUAAUGUGGUUACUAUUGGAUUAUUGUCAUUUUAAUGUCAUGUUAGAAUAUCAAACUUUUUUUUUUUUUCGUGUCCCUUAAGAUUUUACUUCAGG
ensembl:lncRNA